rnacentral:rRNA from 1 species
GAUGAACGCUGGCGGCGUACCUAACGCAUGCAAGUCGAACGGACCCUUUGAAGCAAUUUGAAGGGUUAGUGGCAAACGGGUGAGUAACACGUGGGCAUCUACCUCGAAGUGGGGAAUAACGAGCCGAAAGGUUCGCUAAUACCGCAUGUGGUCGAGAGAUGAAAGGUUUGUUCUAACGAACAGAUCGCUUUGAGCGGAGCCUGCGGUCGAUCAGGUAGUUGGUGAGGUAACGGCUCACCAAGCCUCUGACCGAUAGCUGAUCUGAGAGGAUGACCAGCCACACUGGCACUGAGAGACGGGCCAGACUCCUACGGGAGGCAGCAGCGAGGAAUAUUGCACAAUGGAGGAAACUCUGAUGCAGUAACGCCGCGUGGGGGAAGAAGACCUCGGUUGGUU